rnacentral:rRNA from 1 species
CGCGCAGGCGGUUUAACAAGUCAGAUGUGAAAGCCCACGGCUUAACCGUGGAAGUGCAUUUGAAACUGUUAGACUUGAGUAUGGGAGAGGAAAGUGGAAUUCCCGGUGUAGCGGUGAAAUGCGUAGAUAUCGGGAGGAAUACCGGUGGCGAAGGCGACUUUCUGGACCAAUACUGACGCUGAGGCGCGAAGGCGUGGGGAGCAAACA